rnacentral:rRNA from 1 species
GAGUUUGAUCAUGGCUCAGGACGAACGCUAGCGGCGUGCCUAAUGUAUGCAAGUCGAGCGAGGCGCCGGACUUCGGUCCGGCCGUCGAGCGGCGAACGGUUGAGUAACACGUGGGCAACCUGCCCCAGAGCCGGGGAUAGCCCGCCGAAAGGCGGCGUAAUACCGGAUGUGGCGGAGGAAGGCAUCUUCUUCUUGCUAAAGGAGCGAUCCACUCUGGGAGGGGCCCGCGGCCUAUCAGCUUGUUGGUGAGGUGACGGCUCACCAAGGCGACGACGGGUAGCUGGUCUGAGAGGAUGGUCAGCCAGACAGGGACUGAGACACGGCCCUGACUCCUUUGGGGGGCAGCAAUGAGGAAUAUUGCACAAUGGGGGAAACCCUGAUGCAGCGACGCCGCGUGGGCGAUGAAGUCCUUCGGAAUGUAAAGCCCUUUUCUCGGGGAAGAGAAUGGACGGUACCCGAGGAAUAAGCCCCGGCUAACUACGUGCCAGCAGCCGCGGUAAUACGUAGG